rnacentral:lncRNA from 1 species
UUGAAGGAUCUCUCUUCCUUCUAGCCUGCGAGAAUUUCAUUUUCAGUUUUUUUGCCAUUUUAGCUAAAGGAAUAUUACUUUUUAAUAAUUAAACAAAAACAAAAAUUUUGUAGCACUCGAAUGGCUUUUCAGUAUUUUGAAUGACAAGCUCAAGCCGGUUCAGAGCGAGUUUGCAACGAUCAUCGGCGGACGGCAAACUUGCAGACAGACCAGGGCCACAAAUCCUAAGAUUUCUACAGUUUUCCACUCUUAUCUCGAUUAGAAAUAUCAUCUAUGAAGAAAAGACUUCGAAAGGUUGUUACUGAAAAAUUGAAAACAAGUUUAAAAUCAUAUUUUGAGUCUUAUUUGGACGAACGAAACGCACUUAUCGAGUAAUAAACUUAAGCUUAAAAUUGUUUUUGUUUUUGCUACUGAAUUUGCAAAAAAUGAAAAUAUUUUGCUUCUUGAAAUCUAGAGAAAGUGAAUAGACAAGUUGUUGGUAACUAAAACAAUUAGAUAAUAACUUUUGCCAGGGUUUUACACGGAUUUUGUGAGUAAAUUGUUGAAAUAACGCAAGUGUUUUAAGGUAGUUUAUCGGGGCGUUGAAUUCAGGUUUCUCACCGUUGAAUUCCACUUGAAAUACCCUCUCAUCCGGUUGACGUGUUGACCAAUCAACGCACGACUUUAAAANUGAGGUAUGAGAUUCUAACUGGACUCGUCGCUUUAGUNUUACAAACGAAGUCCGUUUAGUGUAGGCUUUGUCGUUGGAGCAGCAGGAGAGAAGAACGGGAAAGUAACACUUUUUGUUUCUGCUCUGCAAAACAAACAAAAAAUUCAUUCAUUCAUUUUGACCUGUUGUCAGUGGUGUACGUUGCACGUGAAAAUUUGUGUGAAAACUAAAACUUUGCAUAAUAAUGUUUUGUUUUUAACAAUUGAUGUCAUUAAGAUACUGAAACAAGGAUGAUUCCCUAUUAAUAUUCAUAACCCACAUUACUGUUCGGUCGUGCAACUUUCAUUGUAUUUUCACUUGCAAUUCGAUAUUUCUUAUAGAGUUGGGCGUGACGCUCCACUAUCCGGAGUUCAUCAAAAUUUUCAACCAAAAUAUCACGAUAUCCUGUGCAAAAGGGGGUGUUUUAUCUAUAAAAACAAAGCGCGAUCGCCAUGUUUAGGAACAGCUUAGAAUUACAAUUAGACAGCACGAUGUCCUUCUACUGAAUACCGCUUUUCUAUCUCAGAUAUUUGACAGCUCUUUUUGACUUUUUAGGAACCAUCUUCACCAUNCGAAUGUAGGAUGAUAACUGUAAGUGACCAGUNGUUUCCAGUUUGAGAUAUUAAUAGUCGCAGAAGGCUACCCGCACAACUUCUCUCUGUCUAUAGCUACUUUCCUCGCUAAUACCCAACUUCUCCACCCACUUGUAUUGUCCCUUUGUUACUUUUUUGUGUUUUUUUUGGCUGGUUUGAUUUUAAUANCAGACAGUUGAAUGUACGACGAACGUUGGAAGAUUAAGUGAUGUCUCACUUUGAGUGAAGGCUCGGCUACCUUUCAAGUUGGAGCUGGGAACUGGAAAAUGGAGAAGGAUUUGUCGUCAUUUCUAUAUAUGGAUGAGCAUUAGGAUUCAAACUAGUGAUAUGCAAAUUAAUUAAUAAACUUAACAAAAGAAAUAUAAAAAUAAAGAAAUAAACCCCANCGUUCACCAUUACAGUGUCCUUUUAGACGUCGAUGUAUUUCUAUGACGUCACGUUCAUGUUAUGUGACGUCAUAUUUUAAAGGCCCCUCCCCCUCACGCAUUGCUAAUGCAAUUAUUAUUUGUUUGUUUCAUUCUGAUUGGAUUUCGUUAAUGUUGUUUUUUUUAGGCAAUCGCGAGUUAUGACAUGGAAGAAGAACGUGAAGAAAAAAUAUUUUUACCGGUGGAAGAGAUUCUUGUACAAAUACCGGAACCCGAACCUGAAAAAUGUCCGGAGACCUUGUGUGAUACAGAAAUGCCGGUGAGUGAAAUGAAGACUAACUAGCCUGAGUGUCAGUGUCGACUUUCUAAGAGGACGGGGCGGAACCAAAAUUCCAUUCGAGAGAGACUGAUUCUCAGGAUACUAAUAUUUGAAUUGACCUCGAAAAUUAUCAAAAUGAGAUAUCAUUUUGAAAAUUUGUUGGAGAUCACUUUUUCAUUCUUCCAUUUUAUACCGUGGACAUUAAAGGGACAUGGUCCACCAGCAUUCAAUGAGGUCGUGUGUAUUUUUUUCAUAUAUGGAAAAUGCCUUCGAAUAUCCAUUCCCAAUCCGUUUCUAUCCAACGGUUAAAAGCCGAUUCUUACAGUAUCUCCAUUCAUACAGUAUAAAGGGAUAAUAAAGAGUAAGUC